GAAACACACAGUUUUACACAACAAUGCCCUAACAACACUCCUUCCUUUCUUCGAAACACACUCUUCUUCCUAACAAUGCCUUGAAAAGUGAAAAGCUGAGUUCAUCACCCUAACGGCGGCGGCGCUCUUCAACUAACAUAGAGCUCAUCACCGGUGCUCUUACUCUCUCCCCAAUAACACUCGUUGGUCAACCUCGUUCCAACCCUCUCUCGCAACCCCUUCGUAGGUGCCACCUCUGCCGGUGCUCCUUGCGUCGAUGCUCCUUCCAUUUCUCCUGUAAACCCCUAUCCCUCCUUCGGCGGUGACUCACUCUGUUAAGGCCUCCCUCGGCGCUCACUCUCUAUCUCAAACCCUCCGUCGACGCUCACUCUGUAUCACAAACCCUCAAUCGUCGCUCCUCCCUCCAUGGUUCAGCACCCGUCGUGUUGCCGUCUCCCUCUGUGAAGUCGUCGCUCCGCCGUCUCUCUCUCCGUCACUUGUCGCACCUCCGUCAGCCACCUUCAGCGUUCGCAGCGCCAUGCUGUGGUAGUGCUCAGCUACUGAUAUGUGGUGCUCAUUCUGAGUUCAUUCUUUGCUGAAUCUCGUUUGGCAGAGAAUACCCCUAAAUUUUUUGCAAGGUGACAAAUUUAGAGCAGCAGCAGAUAAUUACAUUAGGCCUCUCCUAACUAAGGGAGUUCCAUUACAAAUAAAUCACAAAACCUCUCAUAAUACGUGGCCUAAAAAUUCCACAACAGAAGGACAGUGUUACAUGCAGCUUCUUGCUGAGGCUUCUUAGGAUGGCAAACAUGUAGAAAGUGGCACCUGCAUUGGUGAAUGAGUUGGAGAAGAGGGUGGGAAUGCAGUUGAGCAAGCAACACUUGGUGAUCUUUUGAUACCUUGUUAUGAAAAAAGUGAGACUGUGUAUGAUGUGGAUCAUGUUCAGAGGGUGUUGGAGCAUUUUCUUGUUCAGGAGCAGACUGAGAGUGUUAGUCCAAAUAGGGAAUCAUUUUUGGAGAAGCAGAUGAAUGCAAAGGCAAGAGUUGCAAGGCUUGUUGACAGUUAUCUCACUGAAGUUUCCAGAGACAGGAACCUUUCCCUCACAAAGUUUCAGGUUCUUGCAGAAGCUUUGCCUGACUCAGCUAGGACAUCUGAUGAUGGCCUUUACAGGGCACUUGAUUCUUAUCUUAAGGCACAUCCGACGCUUAGCGAGCACGAAAGGAAGCGACUGUGCCGAGUAAUGGAUUGCCAGAAACUGUCCAUUGAUGCUUGCAUGCAUGCUGCUCAAAAUGAGAGGCUACCACUAAGAGUAGUAGUCCAAGUUCUGUUCUCUGAGCAAGUCAAGAUAAGCAAUGCACUGGCCAACACUACUUUGAAAGAAGGUGUUGGUGUUGAAUCUCAUCAGUAUCAACCUCCUGUACUCACCAACUGGAAAACGCUUCUGGAAGGGACGCCGCAAUCGUUCCAAGAAGGGUGGACAGCAGCCAAGAAAGACAUUAACACACUCAAGUUUGAGCUUGAGACUAUCAAGACCAAGUAUUUGGAGCUUCAGAAUGACAUGGAUAAUCUUCAGAAACAAUUUGAUAAGCUCAUGCUCAAGCAGAAGCACACUUCACCAUGAUUUCUUCAAAUGCCUAGUACAUUAUUUGUUGCUCAUCUCAUUUUAGAUUGAAAUGCCUAGUAUAUUAUUUGUCGCUUUACAGGCUAUAGCAUUAACGGUGGUAUCUAUCGGUGUUGCUGUGGCUACGGUGACUGAUCUGCAGUUCCAUUUUUUUGGUGCAUGUGUGGCAUUGGCGUGGAUUGUACUGAGUGCUGUAAAUAAAAUCCUUUGGUCUCGGCUGCAGCAGCAAGAAAACUGGACAGCUUUAUCAUGAACUGAUGUGGAAAACACCACCUAUUACAUUGAUUUUCCUGGCCGCUAUGAUGCCCUGCUUAGACCCUCCGGGUGUCCUCUCCUUUGAUUGGAACUUCGGAAACACACCCGUGGUUUUUGGCUCGGCAAUUCUUGGAUUCUUGCUUCAGUGGUCUGGUGCUUUACUGCAUUGUGUUUGGUGUUUACUGCAUGCAAUUCAAGAAUAACAUAUUAGGCGAAUAAUGAAUGUCAGAGGCCUAAGCAUUACUCAUGUCAAGAGUCACUUGUAGGAUUGCAAAAAUUCAGACACUAAUCUUGAUUAGUUGGGGAAGGAAAGCAUUAAGGAAGAUGAUUGAGCCAUUUUGCUUGAAGCAGGGCUUACAUGAUCAUCAUCAGCAAAAUUCUAUGGAUCAUCAGCAGGGCUUACAUAUUCAUGAGGAGUUAAUUGAUUUUCUGAAAGAAACUAGGCUGGAGUCAAGUGCAGCUGCCACUAGAAAUGCUUCAACUAAGCUUUUGGGUGUUCUGCAUAGAUUUGUUGGUCCAGAUAUUAAAGGGUUCUCUACUGAUGUUAAGCCUGCAUUGCUCAGGGCUCUUGAUACUGAGUAUGAGAAGAAUCCAUGAGCUCCCAAGAGAUCAGUCAAAACAUCAGACUCAUCUUCCUUAGUUGCCGCUGGUGGGUUGGAUAGCUUGCCUCGUGAAGACAUUAGUGGAAAGAUUACUUCUACUCUCUUGAAGAACUUGGAAAGUCCUAGUGGAAAGUUUGAUUGACCAUAUCUUUCAAAUAAUUUGAUAUUGCUGGCUUGUUUUAACUAUUUAUUAUAACUAAAAGGAAUGAUGUUAUUAUGAUGUUUCAUGACAUUCUUCUGUGAUUUCCUUUUAGGUUCGUAUGGAGUCGGUUGAAGCUGUAAAUAAAAUACUGGAAGAGGCAAAUAAGCGCAUUAAAGCAAAUGGAACUGGGAUACCAACAUACAAAGCUGUUUUAACUUUGCUUAUGGUAUUUGGUGUUGGACCAACAGUUUUUGGCAAUGUGUCUAAUGUCCAUAAACUUGUGAGGAAAAGAUGGAAGCGUGUUACGUGCCUUCACUGCCUUGGCUAUGGUUGAGUUCAAGCAACCUUGGCUAUGGUCGAGUUCAAGCAAGAGUAAGGGCUCGUAGAAUCCAGUUAAGUCAUGAGAUGAAGCAACAUGAAGCUACAAUGAAGAGGGAGAGAUUGAUAUUUUUUAUCCCAAUGUAUUUUAUAACUAUUUGGGUUAUAAGAGAUCGAUAUAGCUAAUUUGGUUUGAAUUUUAUUACUAAUUUUCAUUAAUUUAUUUUUUAAAAUAAUAUUCACAUAUUUUUGUCAA